rnacentral:rRNA from 1 species
UACGGGGGGGGCAAGCGUUGUUCGGAAUUACGGGGCGUAAAGGGCUUGUAGGUGGCCAACUCAGUCAGACGUGAAAUCCCUCGGCUUAACCGGGGAACUGCGUCUGAUACUGGAUGGCUUGAGUGUGGGAGAGGGAUGCGGAAUUCCAGGUGUAGCGGUGAAAUGCGUAGAUAUCUGGAGGAACACCGGUGGCGAAGGCGGCAUCCUGGACCAUUACUGACACUGAAAAGCGAAAGCCAGGGGAGCAAACGGG